rnacentral:rRNA from 1 species
CGAUUCUUGUUAAACUCGAUCUCAAAUCAAGUAAGACUACCCGCUGAACUUAAGCAUAUCAAUAAGCGGAGGAAAAGAAACUAACAAGGAUUCCCCUAGUAACGGCGAGUGAAGCGGGAUGAGCUCAAAUUUAAAAUCUGGCUGGUUUACUAGUCCGAAUUGUAGUUUAUAGAAGCGUUUUCGGUGGCAGCCUGGGUAUAAAUCCUUUGGAAUAGGGUAUCAUAGAGGGUGAGAAUCCCGUCUUUGACUCAGUGCAUGCUACUAUGUGAUACGUUUUCAAAGAGUCGAGUUGUUUGGGAAUGCAGCUCAAAAUGGGUGGUAAAUUUCAUCUAAAGCUAAAUAUUGGCGAGAGACCGAUAGCGAACAAGUACCGUGAGGGAAAGAUGAAAAGAGCUUUGAAAAGAGAGUUAAACAGUGCGUGAAAUUGUUGAAAGGGAAACGUUUGACACCAGUUAUGCGGGUGGAAAAUCAGUCUUUUGCAAUGGGGAGUUGUGGGCGUUCAGACCGCAAGGCUGGCGUUUGCUUCAUCUUUGUUGUAAGUGAUGCACUUUUUCAUUUGCAGGCCAACAUCAGUUUGCUUUGCUGGACAAAACCCCAAGGGAAGGUGGCAGCUUAGGCUGUGUUAUAGCCCUGGGGGCGAUACAGUGGAGUGGACUGAGGUUUCGCAGUGUGUGCUCUCGGGCAAGGCUGACUGGGUGCUAUGGGAUCGUUCGGCGUACAAUGCAUGCAUUUUGCGUCGUGUCUUUUUCAUACUCGCUCAACUCGGCUCUUCCACACUUAGGAUGUUGACUUAAUGG